rnacentral:rRNA from 1 species
AUUGAACGCUGGCGGCAUGCUUUACACAUGCAAGUCGAACGGCAGCGCGGGCUUCGGCCUGGCGGCGAGUGGCGAACGGGUGAGUAAUGCAUCGGAACGUGCCCAGUAGUGGGGGAUAGCCCGGCGAAAGCCGGAUUAAUACCGCAUACGACCUGAGGGUGAAAGCGGGGGACCGAAAGGCCUCGCGCUAUUGGAUCGGCCGAUGUCGGAUUAGCUAGUUGGUGGGGUAAAGGCUUACCAAGGCGACGAUCCGUAGCUGGUCUGAGAGGACGACCAGCCACACUGGGACUGAGACACGGCCCAGUCUCCUACGGGAGGCAGCAGUGGGGAAUUUUGGACAAUGGGGGCAACCCUGAUCCAGCCAUGCCGCGUGCGGGAAGAAGGCCUUCGGGUUGUAAACCGCUUUUGUUCGGGAAGAAAUCCUCUGGGCUAAUACCCCGGGGGGAUGACGGUACCGGAAGAAUAAGCACCGGCUAACUACGUG